UACGUAGGGUGCGAGCGUUGUCCGGAAUUAUUGGGCGUAAAGGGCUCGUAGGCGGUCUGUUGCGUCGGGAGUGAAAACUCAGGGCUUAACCCUGAGCCUGCUUCCGAUACGGGCAGACUAGAGGUAUGCAGGGGAGAACGGAAUUCCUGGUGUAGCGGUGGAAUGCGCAGAUAUCAGGAGGAACACCGGUGGCGAAGGCGGGUCUCUGGGCAGUAACUGACGCUGAGGAGCGAAAGCGUGGGGAGCGAACAGG
rnacentral:rRNA from 1 species